UUAAUUUAAAUUUGUAUGGAGUUGGAACGUUUGCUAUAGUUUGCCGCUAAGGGCGCUGUUCCAACUGCAUACAAAUUUGAGCGA
rfam:Bombyx mori DNA, contig: Bm_scaf134_contig39258, strain: p50T/Dazao, build 2, whole genome shotgun sequence.